GUGCAGCCCCCUGCUGCCGCCAGGGCGCCCUUUGGACCCCACCAGCGCCCCCUGAGCCUCGCCGGGACCUGAGUUAACUUACCAUUUGUGAAGAGAGGCUCAGGAAGUUUUCUGAAGAAGGAUUUCAGUAAACUGCUUAUCACGUUCAAAUCUCGCCAUUUCUAAGAGAUGUCGAUCAGGCAGGCGUUGACGCUGAUGGGCUGCUCUUCCUCAGACGGAGUGCUCUGCUCUCUCUUGUCUUUGUACAAGUAGAGCGAAUGGCCUCGGAGUACAACAUACAUCUGCUUCCAGGGCCGAAUACUUCCACCAACUCGCUAGAAAACAUGAAUUGGCUCGUUAACAGGAAAUACGUGGCUAAGUCUUCGUGAUGGGAACAGCACACGGCAAGCCCCUAACACACCCUGUGUGGACACCCAGAGCAGCAG
rnacentral:lncRNA from 1 species